GGACCAGGAUUCUAAAUGAGACCUGAGGGAAUGGAGCUGUUGUUGACAAGAGCUGUUAGACAAACAGGACAUGGAGGAGGAGUGGUCAUGCAUACCUCAAUGGGACAAAGUAUCUCCUCUGAGACUUCAGAAAAUCCUUUUCUUCUGGAGCCACUCUGUUCUGGAUUACCCUGAGAUUUUAAUGAGAUAAAGUCUAGAGAUGUAUAUAACUUUUCUGCAUCAUUUUGGAAUUUUAAUGAGAUGAAACGAGACCCAGAGACACCUGUUCUAGACCACUUUGGGAUCUUAAUGAGGUAAGGCUAACGGAGGAUGGACUAAAUUCAUUUUUUCCCAAGCUGUUCAGAGACCAAAUACACAGACAAGAAAUGCAAACAUAUGGAUGAAGUCUUCCAAAUUGCUACUUCCUCUAACUCCUUUUCUAAUCUUCAUGUUGUUUCUUUUUUAUUUAGAGUGUGUGUGUUGGUAGGUGUCAUCAGUGGAGGGCUGGUGGUUGGAAGUUAGAGGAGUAGCUGUUUAUGAAUUCUAGACCUGGACAGUCUUUGUCAUUAAGUUGAUAUGUGACCCCAUGGAUGCAAACAGGUUGAAGACAAGAGCUCUCUUUAAUGGAACCUGAACAGUGCCUAACUCCUGUAGAUAUUCACUGAAUGUUAAAUAACAACAGUGAUCAUGUAAUAAUGAUGCCCAAUUCACUUGGGAGAGAAUACCAAAUAGCUUGGAAUUUUCCUGUUACUGCCAGCAUGGCCUGAGAGCAUCCUGAGAGAGGUCAAAAGUCCGUCUGACUCACCUGUGCUGAGUGACUUGAAUGCCAUCUAAUCUAACUUCAAGGUCACAGUGUUUGGACACCGCAUGAACAUGCCAAUUUCCUGUGUUGUAAUAUUUUUAUGCACUUUAAGAAGACCACCAGAAACAGCAGAGUGAGUGAAUGACUGAGGCGCAUAUUGGACAAAAAUCACUUAUCCAAGACCACGUUACUACAACCCCAGGGCACAGAAGCUAAGUCUUCCUAUUGUACUGAACUCAGUUGACUGGAAUUUGUUCAGGAAAGCAUGAAGUCAAAUGGAAGCUAGUCCGUGACUGGAUUCAUCUUUUGGUAAAAAACGAAGAGGAGACCCCAUAUCCUGGAGGUUCUUGCUUAACCCUGUCCCUAAUAAGACCUAACUUUAUGAGUCUUCUCCUUAGAGGCAGUCCUAGGGUAAGAGUGAUUAUUCCUGUGAGCCUUGUAGGUACUUUCGAAUCAAGGAAAUUAGUAGUUGAUUGCUAAUUAAUUCAGUAUUUAAUGAAUUUAAGUACCUAGGCAAUGAGGCCACAAUAGCAAAUAAGACACAGACCUGUUUUCAAAAAGUAGCCUGUAAAUAAGAUAUUUUUUUCUGCCAUGGUGGCAAAGGCAUGACUAUGGUGAUGAACAUUCAUAGGCUCACCUUCUAGCUCUGUUGUAUGUUAACUGUGUGAACUUGGGUCAAGUUAUGAAAACUCUAAGAACUCUCAAAACUCCUGAUCUGUUUUAACAUGAAAGUAAAGAUAUCUAAUUGAAUUGUUGUGAAACUUAAAUGUAAUGUGACAUCCAAAGAAUGUAGCCCAAAGUUGGAUUUCAGUAAGUGAUAAAUAGAAGUAUUUAAACAUGGGUAUGGUAUGUUCUGUAACAGAAGAAUGUCUAUGUGCUGGGGAUACCUAGAGACAGUGAAAAUUCUGUCUGGCCUGCGAAUUAUAAUAAAAUGACUCUUUAAAGUCAAUGAG
rnacentral:lncRNA from 1 species